GGAGAGCCACACUUGAUGGUGGAAUAUAAAC
rnacentral:piRNA from 1 species